rnacentral:rRNA from 1 species
UACGUAGGGCGCAAGCGUUGUCCGGAAUUAUUGGGCGUAAAGAGCUCGUAGGCGGUCUGUCGCGUCUGCCGUGAAAACCCGAGGCUUAACCUCGUGGCUUGCGGUGGAUACGGGCAGACUAGAGGUAGGUAGGGGAGAAUGGAAUUCCCGGUGUAGCGGUGAAAUGUGCAGAUAUCGGGAGGAACACCGGUGGCGAAGGCGGUUCUCUGGGCCUUACCUGACGCUGAGGAGCGAAAGCGUGGGGAGCGAACAGG